rnacentral:rRNA from 1 species
GUGGACCUACGGGGGGCAGCAGUGGGGAAUAUUGGGCAAUGGGCGCAAGCCUGACCCAGCAACGCCGCGUGAAGGAAGAAGGCUUUCGGGUUGUAAACUUCUUUUCUCAGGGACGAAUAGAUGACGGUACCUGAGGAAUAAGCCACGGCUAACUACGUGCCAGCAGCCGCGGUAAUACGUAGGUGGCAAGCGUUAUCCGGAUUUACUGGGUGCAAAGGGCGUGUAGGCGGGGACGCAAGUCAGAUGUGAAAACCACGGGCUCAACCUGUGGCCUGCAUUUGGAACUGGGUUUCU